rnacentral:lncRNA from 1 species
GAGCUUAGGUUUUUGUAGGGGUUUUAAAUAGUUUUUAGUGGUUUUAUAGGGUUAGUACGAUUUAGGGUUUCUUAAGGUUUAGGGUUUAGUGUUUCUUAGGGGUUUGAGUUUAGGAUUUGGGUUUUGGAUUCAGGGAUUAGGUCUUAGGGUUUUUUUAGGUUUAAGGAUUUAGGUUAAGGCUUUUGGAUUCAGGGAUUAGGUCUUAGGUUUUUUUUAGGUUUAAGGAUUUAGAUUAAGGCUUUUAUCUUGGUUUUUAGGGCAUAGGGAUUUGAGUUUUUUACGUUAAGGUUUUUUAGGGUUUAAGGCUUAGUUUUUUUUUUCUUUGUAUCUUUUAGGAUUAAGCAUAUACAAUUUUUGGCUUUAUAGGGUUUAGAGCUUAGAGUUUUUUAGGUUGAGGGGUUUUUGGUUUUUAAGGGUGAAGCA